CCUACGGGAGGCAGCAGUAGGGGAUAUUGCUCAAUGGGGGAAACCCUGAAGCAGCAACGCCGCGUGGAGGAUGAAGGUUUUCGGAUUGUAAACUCCUUUUGUUAGAGAAGAUAAUGACGGUAUCUAACGAAUAAGCACCGGCUAACUCCGUGCCAGCAGCCGCGGUAAUACGUAGGGUGCAAGCGUUACUCGGAUUCACUGGGCGUAAAGAGCGCGUAGGCGGGAUAGCAAGUCAGAUGUGAAAGCCUAUGGCUUAACCAUAGAACUGCAUUUGAAACUGUUAUUCUAGAGUAUAGGAGAGGUAGGUGGAAUUCUUGGUGUAGCGGUAAAAUCCGUAGAGAUCGAGAGGAAUACUCGUUGCGAAGGCGACCUGCUGGAACAUAACGGACGCUGAUGCGCGAAAGCGUGGGGAGCAAACAGGAUUAGAUACCCCAGUAGUC
rnacentral:rRNA from 1 species